rnacentral:rRNA from 1 species
UACGGAGGGUGCAAGCGUUGUUCGGAAUUAUUGGGCGUAAAGGGCGUGUAGGCGGCCUCGUAAGUCUGAUGUGAAAGCCCCGGGCUCAACCUGGGAAGUGCAUUGGAAACUGCGAGACUUGAGUACGGGAGAGGGCAGUGGAAUUCCUAGUGUAGGAGUGAAAUGCGUAGAUAUCGGGAGGAACACCAGUGGCGAAGGCGACUACCUGGCCUGUUUCUUGACGCUGAGGCGCGAAAGCUAGGGGAGCAAACGGG